UAUUUGGAGUAGAUCUUCAAGAAUGGUAACCGUGACUCUAUUUGGAGAGGUGACCUCAAAAUGUUACUCUACUCCCUUCCUUUCCUGCUCUGCCUCUGGUUGCUUUUGUGCUGGAUCCCAAUUAAGAUCAACCACCAAGUCAAGCCUUGGCAUGGCCUUAACCUUAGAUGGUAUACUUGAGGACCUCUCUGAACUUACAUGGGUCGUGUUACAUUACCUCUGCCCUCUACAUUUAUCUCAUUUUCAUGGUUAUUGGUAGAGUCUUGGACGACCUCAUUAGAACUGUAGGUGGCAUCCUUCUUUGGACACAUGCUUUCAAUAGUAUUUUCCUGCCGGCCAUUAUUAUCUUUAUCUUCAUUGGAGUCAUUCUUAAGGUUGCUGGAUGAUGGAUUUAAACACCACUUUGAAUUUUUUCUUAGGGAGCCUCUUUUGCUUGCCCGCCUUCUUCUCUUUAGAAGUCCUUGCAUUGAUGGUUUGAUUUUGCUGUUGCACACUCUGUUCUUCAUUGUUCAAGACAAUUUGAUUGUUGCUAUUAGAAUUGUGAGCACCUAAUUUUUGAUCA